rnacentral:tRNA from 1 species
GGCCGCUUAGCCAAGUGGUAAGGCAUCGGCUUUAGGGAUUCGUGUGAUGACCGCCGAGAUGCGCGUGUUCGAUCCACGCAGUGGUCA